rnacentral:rRNA from 1 species
UGCGCGUCCUAUGCAUGCAAGUCGUUACGCACGCGCUUCGGCGCGUGAGUGGCGCACGGCUGAGUAACACGUGGGAACCCGCCCUCCGGUGGGGGAUAACGCGACGAAAGUCGCGCUAAUCCCGCAUACGUCCGCAAGGGGAAAGCGCUUCGGCGCGCCGGAGGAGGGGCCUGCGGCCCAUCAGGUGGUUGGUGGGGUAACGGCCUACCAAGCCGAUGACGGGUAGCUGGUCUGGGAGGAUGACCAGCCAGACUGGGACUGAGACACGGCCCAGACUCCUACGGGAGGCAGCAGCAAGGAAUUUUCGGCAAUGGGCGCAAGCCUGACCGAGCAACGCCGCGUGCGGGAUGACGGCCUUCGGGUUGUAAACCGCUUUUCGGGGGGACGACUACGACGGUACCCCCGGAAGAAGCCCCGGCUAACUCUGUGCCAGCAGCCGCGGUAAGACAGAGGGGGCGAGCGUUGUCCGGAGUUACUGGGCGUAAAGCGCGCGCAGGCGGUGGUCUCAGUGUC